rnacentral:tRNA from 1 species
GGGUUUGUAGCUCAGUGGUGGAGCACUUGCCUAGCAUGUGUGAGGCACUGAGUUCAAUCCUCAGCACCA